UUGUAAGAUCUUCACCGUCGAGGCAUCUUGCAUUUAAGAAGUGUGCUGAAAAGUUGCAUAUAGAGUGUAAGAAAUCAUUGUGUUUAGAUGUUGCAACUCGAUGGAAUUCAACUUAUCUUAUGUUAGAAGCUGCUGAAAAGUUUGAAAAGGUGUUUGUGAGGUUAGGUGAAAAAGAACGUAGGUAUAUGAGUUACUUUUUGGAGGUUGAUUCAAAGGGGAAUAAAAAAAACAUAGGGCCACCUAGUUUGGGUGAUUGGGAAAAUACAAGAACUUUGGUUAAGUUCUUAAAGAUUUUUUAUAUGGUUACAUUGAGAUUUUCUAGCUCAUUGCAUAUCACAUCAAAUUCUUUCUUCAAUGAAUUGAUUUACAUGCAUACAAACUUGUUGCAAUUGUGUAAAAAUAAAGAUAGUAUUUUAAGUGGAAUGACGAUGAAUAUGAUGUUAAAGUUUGAGAAGUAUUGGGGGUGUGAAGUAAAUCAGAAUUUUUUGUUAUAUGUGGCUAAUGUCUUAGAUCCACGUUUGAAGUUGAAAUAUGUGAAAUUUUGUUUUGGUGAUUUGUAUGAUUAUGACAAAGCACAAUUGCUAACAAAUAAGGUGAAAGAUACUUUGGUGAGUUUGUAUGAGUUUUAUUUGAAAAUUGAUGAAGUGGUGGAUAAUAAUAGGCAUAAAUAGGAUGUUAAUGCUAUUGAUGAUGUGGAGGUAGAUGUUAACACUUUGGCUCGAUUCAAAAGAUAUUUGCUGGAGGUGGAUAGUGUGGAAAAUAAAAAUGAGGUUGAGAGGUAUUUGAUUGAAGGUUGUGAGGAUCCUAAUGAUGAUAAGUUAAAUAUUUUGGGUUUGUGGAAAAGUAAUGCUUUGAAAUAUAAGACACUUUCAAAGGUUGCACAACAUGUUCUGGCUAUUCCUAUAUCUAUAGUGGCUUCUGAAUCAGCAUUUAGCACAGGUGGUCGUGUACUUGAUCAAUUUCAAAGUUCUCUAUCUCCAGCAACUGUUCAAGCACUCAUUUGUUGUCAAAAUUGGUUGCAUCAUGGAUCAAAUCUAAUUGAUAUUAGAAGCUUGAUAAAUGAUCUUGAAACCUACGAAAACCUUGAGUCAGAAUUUGGUGGAAAGUUACAUUUAGUAACAGAUGAUAAUUAGUUCAAAAGUUACUUUGAUGGUUUUGAUGUCAAUGAUAUUAUGGAAUCAAAGUGCAAUGUUCUUGUCAUCUUGAUGUGCUUUUUGAUUGAGAUGAUGUAUACAAUGAAGAUUUAUAUUUUUUGCAUGAAGUAUUUUAUU